CUUCCUGUGUUAACCGAUCCUGGAACAGCGUCUGCAAUAGAAUCCUCUCUCGCCCCAAAAUGAUCUCUGCGUUCUCACGUAAUCCUGAUCAACUCGUAGUGGAGACAAACCCUGGAAGUAUGGUUGAUCUGGUGGUUGGUGAGGACAGAAGAUUUCAGCGGCUAUUUAUGUCUUUCCAAUCUUGUAUACAUGGCUUUCAAACUGGUUGCCGGCCACUUCUUUUCCUGGAUGCCAUUUCAUUUAAGUCUAGGUAUCAUCAGAUUUUGUUAACAGAAUAACCCGAAAAUUCCGAAAACCUAGGGCUACAUCCGAGAGAUAUGUGCUCUCAAAAGUAUCUUUUGUGGCUAGAAUUUUGUUUACAGCGAGAUGAUUGAUGCCUGUUGUCCUUGACCAACUGUUGCGAAUCAUUGAAGUCUUUGACAUAUAACAUUUUUUGCAGUUA